UAAUACAGAGGGUGCAAGCGUUAAUCGGAAUUACUGGGCGUAAAGCGCACGCAGGCGGUUGGUUAAGUCAGAUGUGAAAGCCCCGGGCUCAACCUGGGAAUUGCAUUUGAAACUGGCCAACUAGAGUACGUGAGAGGGGGGUAGAAUUCCAAGUGUAGCGGUGAAAUGCGUAGAGAUUUGGAGGAAUACCAGUGGCGAAGGCGGCCCCCUGGCACGAUACUGACGCUCAGGUGCGAAAGCGUGGGGAGCAAACAGGA
rnacentral:rRNA from 1 species